rnacentral:rRNA from 1 species
GAUGAACGCUGGCGGCGUGCUUAACACAUGCAAGUCGAACGGAAAGGCCCUGCUUUUGUGGGGUGCUCGAGUGGCGAACGGGUGAGUAACACGUGAGUAACCUGCCCUUGACUUUGGGAUAACUUCAGGAAACUGGGGCUAAUACCGGAUAGGAGCUCCUGCUGCAUGGUGGGGGUUGGAAAGUUUCGGCGGUUGGGGAUGGACUCGCGGCUUAUCAGCUUGUUGGUGGGGUAGUGGCUUACCAAGGCUUUGACGGGUAGCCGGCCUGAGAGGGUGACCGGCCACAUUGGGACUGAGAUACGGCCCAGACUCCUACGGGAGGCAGCAGUGGGGAAUAUUGCACAAUGGGCGGUAGCCUGAUGCAGCAACGCCGCGUGCGGGAUGACGGCCUUCGGGUUGUAAACCGCUUUCGCCUGUGACGAAGCGUGAGUGACGGUAAUGGGUAAAGAAGCACCGGCUAACUACGUG